rnacentral:rRNA from 1 species
UACGUAGGGUGCAAGCGUUAUCCGGAAUUAUUGGGCGUAAAGCGCACGUAGGCGGUUCGUUAAGUCGGAUGUGAAAGCCCUCGGCUCAACUGAGGAAGUGCACCCGAAACUGGCGAGCUUGAGUACGAAAGAGGAUCGCGGAAUUCCCGGUGUAGAGGUGAAAUUCGUAGAUAUCGGGAGGAACACCGGUGGCGAAGGCGGCGAUCUGGGUCGAUACUGACGCUGAGGUGCGAAAGCGUGGGGGAGCAAACAGGG